GGCCUUUUCGGAGGCAGUGGCAGACGGGUGAGUAACGCGUGGGAACCUACCGACCGGUACGGGACAACCCGGAGAAAUCUGGGCUAAUACCGUAUGCGCACGUGGCUUUGUGCUUCGUGGAAAGAUUUAUUGCCGGUUGAGGGGCCCGCGUUGGAUUAGCUUGAUGGCGGGGUAACGGCCCGCCAUGGCGACGAUCCAUAGCUGGUCUGAGAGGAUGAUCAGCCACACUGGGACUGAGACACGGCCCAGACUCCUACGGGAGGCAGCAGUGGGGAAUAUUGGACAAUGGGGGCAACCCUGAUCCAGCCAUGCCGCGUGAGUGAAGAAGGCCUUAGGGUUGUAAAGCUCUUUCAUCCGCGAGGAUAAUGACGUUAGCGGAAGAAGAAGCCCCGGCCAACUUCGUGCCAGCAGCCGCGGUAAUACGAAGGGGGCUAGCGUUGUUCGGAAUUACUGGGCGUAAAGCGCGCGCAGGCGGACGGCUCAGUCAGGGGUGAAAUCCCGGGGCUCAACCCCGGAACGGCCCUUGAUACUGGUUGUCUGGAGGUCGGGAGAGGCGGGUGGAACUCCGAGUGUAGAGGUGAAAUUCGUAGAUAUUCGGAAGAACACCGGUUGCGAAGGCGGCCCGCUGGCCCGAACCUGACGCUGAGGUGCGAAAGCGUGGGGAGCGAACAGGAUUAGAUACCCUGGUAGUCCACGCCGUAAACGAUGGAAGCCAGCUGUC
rnacentral:rRNA from 1 species